AGCUCCAAUAGCGUAUAUUUAAGUUGUUGCAGUUAAAAAGCUCGUAGUUGGAUUUCGGGCUGGAGCCGCCGGUCCGCCGUUGUGGUGUGCACUGGCGGCUUUAGUCUUCUUGUCGGGGAUCUGUUUCUGGCCUUGAUUGGUUGGGGCAGAGAGUCGGCGCAGUUACUUUGAGCAAAUUAGAGUGUUCAAAGCAAGCCAUCGCUCGAAUACAUUAGCAUGGAAUAACAUGAUAGGACUCCGGCUCUAUCUGUUGGUCUAGGAACUGGAGUAAUGAUUAAUAGGGACAGUCGGGGGCAUCCGUAUUUCAUUGUCAGAGGUGAAAUUCUUGGAUUUAUGAAAGACGAACUUCUGCGAAAGCAUUUGCCAAGGAUGUUUUCA
rnacentral:rRNA from 1 species